rnacentral:rRNA from 1 species
CCCGCACAAGCGGUGGAGCAUGUGGUUUAAUUCGAUGCAACGCGAAGAACCUUACCAGCCCUUGACAUCCUCGGAAUCCUGCAGAGAUGCGGGAGUGCCUUCGGGAGCCGAGAGACAGGUGCUGCGUGGCUGUCGUCAGCUCGUGUCGUGAGAUGUUGGGUUAAGUCCCGUAACGAGCGCAACCCUUGCCCUUAGUUGCCAGCGCGUCAAGGCGGGAACUCUAAGGGGACUGCCGGUGAUAAACCGGAGGAAGGUGGGGAUGACGUCAAGUCAUCAUGGCCCUUAUGGGCUGGGCUACACACGUGCUACAAUGGCCGGUACAGAGGGUUGCCAACCCGCGAGGGGGAGCCAAUCUCAGAAAACCGGUCGUAGUCCGGAUCGCAGUCUGCAACUCGACUGCGUGAAGUCGGAAUCGCUAGUAAUCGCGAAUCAGCAUGUCGCGGUGAAUACGUUCCCGGGCCUU